rnacentral:rRNA from 1 species
UACGAAGGGGGCUAGCGUUGUUCGGAAUUACUGGGCGUAAAGCGCACGUAGGCGGACUAUUAAGUCAGGGGUGAAAUCCCGGGGCUCAACCCCGGAACUGCCUUUGAUACUGGUAGUCUCGAGUCCGGAAGAGGUGAGUGGAAUUCCCGGUGUAGCGGUGAAAUGCGCAGAUAUCGCUUGGAACGCCAACGGUGAAAACAGGUUGCUGGGGUUGUGCCGACGCUGAGACACGAAAGCCAGGGGAGCAAACGGG